rnacentral:rRNA from 1 species
GACGAACGCUGGCGGCGUGCCUAAUACAUGCAAGUAGAACGCUGAAGGAGGAGCUUGCUUCUCUGGAUGAGUUGCGAACGGGUGAGUAACGCGUAGGUAACCUGCCUGGUAGCGGGGGAUAACUAUUGGAAACGAUAGCUAAUACCGCAUAAGAGUAGAUGUCGCAUGACAUUUGCUUAAAAGGUGCAAUUGCAUCACUACCAGAUGGACCUGCGUUGUAUUAGCUAGUUGGUGAGGUAACGGCUCACCAAGGCGACGAUACAUAGCCGACCUGAGAGGGUGAUCGGCCACACUGGGACUGAGACACGGCCCAGACUCCUACGGGAGGCAGCAGUAGGGAAUCUUCGGCAAUGGACGGAAGUCUGACCGAGCAACGCCGCGUGAGUGAAGAAGGUUUUCGGAUCGUAAAGCUCUGUUGUAAGAGAAGAACGAGUGUGAGAGUGGAAAGUUCACACUGUGACGGUAUCCUACCAGAAAGGGACGGCUAACUACGUGCCAGCAGCCGCGGUAACAC